UGGGCUCGGAGAUGUGUAUAAGAGACAGGGCGGUAUGCUUAACACAUGCAAGUCGAACGGAAACGAUACUAGCUUGCUAGUAGGCGUCGAGUGGCGGACGGGUGAGUAACGCGUAGGAAUCUACCUGAUAGUGGGGGAUAGCCCGAAGAAAUUCGGAUUAAUACCGCAUAAUCUAUUCGUAGUAAAGUGGGGGACUUUCGAGCCUCACGCUAUCAGAUGAGCCUGCGUAAGAUUAGCUUGUUGGUAGGGUAAAAGCCUACCAAGGCGACGAUCUUUAGCUGGUCUGAGAGGAUGAUCAGCCACAUCGGGACUGAGACACGGCCCGAACUCCUACGGGAGGCAGCAGUGGGGAAUAUUGGACAAUGGGGGCAACCCUGAUCCAGCAAUACCGCGUGUGUGAAGAAGGCCUGAGGGUUGUAAAGCACUUUCAAUUGUGAAGAAAAGUUAGCGGUUAAUAACCGUUAGCCUUGACGUUAACUUUAGAAGAAGCACCGGCUAACUCCGUGCCAGCAGCCGCGGUAAUACGGAGGGUGCAAGCGUUAAUCGGAAUUACUGGGCGUAAAGCGUGCGUAGGCGGUUUAUUAAGUCAGAUGUGAAAGCCCCGGGCUUAACCUGGGAACUGCAUUUGAAACUGGUCAACUAGAGUAUGGUAGAGGAAAGUGGAAUUUCUGGUGUAGCGGUGAAAUGCGUAGAUAUCAGAAGGAACAUCAAUGGCGAAGGCAGCUUUCUGGACCAAUACUGACGCUGAGGUACGAAAGCGUGGGUAGCAAACAGGAUUAGAUACCCUGGUAGUCCACGCCGUAAACG
rnacentral:rRNA from 1 species